rnacentral:rRNA from 1 species
AUGAACGCUAGCUACAGGCUUAACACAUGCAAGUCGAGGGGCAGCAUUUCAGUUUGCUUGCAAACUGGAGAUGGCGACCGGCGCACGGGUGAGUAACACGUAUCCAACCUGCCGAUAACUCGGGGAUAGCCUUUCGGAAGAAAGAUUAAUACCCGAUGGUAUAAUCAGACCGCAUGGUCUUGUUAUUAAAGAAUUUCGGUUAUCGAUGGGGAUGCGUUCCAUUAGGCAGUUGGUGAGGUAACGGCUCACCAAACCUUCGAUGGAUAGGGGUUCUGAGAGGAAGGUCCCCCACAUUGGAACUGAGACACGGUCCAAACUCCUACGGGAGGCAGCAGUGAGGAAUAUUGGUCAAUGGGCGCAGGCCUGAACCAGCCAAGUAGCGUGAAGGAUGACUGCCCUAUGGGUUGUAAACUUCUUUUAUAUGGGAAUAAAGUUUUCCACGUGUGGAAUUCUGUAUGUACCAUAUGAAUAAGGAUCGGCUAACUCCGUGCCAGCAGCCGCGGUAAUACGGAGGAUCCGAGCGUUAUCCGGAUUUAUUGGGUUUAAAGGGAGCGUAGGUGGACAGUUAAGUCAGUUGUGAAAGUUUGCGGCUCAACCGUAAAAUUGCAGUUGAUACUGGCUGUCUUGAGUACAGUAGAGGUGGGCGGAAUUCGUGGUGUAGCGGUGAAAUGCUUAGAUAUCACGAAGAACUCCGAUUGCGAAGGCAGCUCACUGGACUGCAACUGACACUGAUGCUCGAAAGUGUGGGUAUCAAACAGGAUUAGAUACCCUGGUAGUCCACACAGUAAACGAUGAAUACUCGCUGGUUGCGAUAUACAGUAAGCGGCCAAGCGAAAGCAUUAAGUAUUCCACCUGGGGAGUACGCCGGCAACGGUGAAACUCAAAGGGAUUGACGGGGGCCCGCACAAGCGGAGGAACAUGUGGUUUAAUUCGAUGAUACGCGAGGAACCUUACCCGGGCUUAAAUUGCAUUUGAAUAAUCUGGAAACAGGUUAGCCGCAAGGCAAAUGUGAAGGUGCUGCAUGGUUGUCGUCAGCUCGUGCCGUGAGGUGUCGGCUUAAGUGCCAUAACGAGCGCAACCCUUAUCUUUAGUUACUAACAGGUCAUGCUGAGGACUCUAGAGAGACUGCCGUCGUAAGAUGUGAGGAAGGUGGGGAUGACGUCAAAUCAGCACGGCCCUUACGUCCGGGGCUACACACGUGUUACAAUGGGGGUACAGAAGGCAGCUACCUGGUGACAGGAUGCUAAUCCCAAAAGCCUCUCUCAGUUCGGAUCGAAGUCUGCAACCCGACUUCGUGAAGCUGGAUUCGCUAGUAAUCGCGCAUCAGCCAUGGCGCGGUGAAUACGUUCCCGGGCCUUGUACACACCGCCCGUCAAGCCAUGAAAGCCGGGGGUACCUGAAGUACGUAACCGCAAGGAGCGUCCUAGGGUAAAACUGGUA